CGAAACUCUGACUCAAAAAAAAAAAGUUUGUGAGCCUCCUAAUUGUCAGCUUCAGGAAGUUGAGACUCAAAGAAGGAAAUGACUUGCUUAAGGCUAUAUGGCUCAUAAACGGAAAAGCUGGGAUUUCAACUUAGGACUAAUUCCAAAAGAUGUGCUUUUAAUCACCAUACCUUGCUGCUUUAUGAGAAACGAAAGUUUCAGGUUGAAGCCUUCCCGUGACACAUCCCAAGCAGGCUGAAAGUCAAGUGGUGUUUCCCUUACAAAUUGCCCAGAAUGCUAAGGAUGAUAAAUAAUCCAUGCCUGAAACCACGAGCUGUCUCAGGCAUGGUGAUGGAAACCAGGUAGCUGUCUGCUCGCAGUCACACAUGGCUCUGGGUGGAGCCUAGAAUCCCAGGGAGUUUUCUCGUAAAACCAAGAAAUACGACACUGUCCUCCAGAGAGGGGAAGCAUGUGACCCGCUUUAUUGCUGUGCCUUUGAGCCCAUGAGUCGCCGAUGAACUUCGGUGGCUCUUCCUGGCUGACCUGUUGCAUGUGGUGUUCAUCUCCAAACAGCUUCAUAGUUAACACAGGAAAUUCAUGGUGUUGAUCUGUUUCAGAAGCAAUUUAAGACUUGAAGUGCCUGUGCUUUCUUCUUCCCACUGUCAUUGCUUCUGUGGCUAAUGUACUAUCUGCAUAUACUCUCUUUCCUCACGUCACCUGCUGCUUUAGCCACCAUUACUUCUUGUAAAUUACUAGAAAAGAGGAGGCUUCCAAGAAAGAACCAUUUAGGUCCAAUCUAAUGCUCUGAGAGGGCAGGGUUUUAGUCUAACUUGGUCACCACUGUGUGUUCAGUGCCUCGCCUAGCACCCAAAUGAGAGUAAGUGCUGAA
rnacentral:lncRNA from 13 species